AGAGAGUGCAAACGUUGUUCGGAAUUACUGGGCGUAAAGCGUGCGUAGGUGGUGCGUUAAGUCUGUCGUGAAAGCCCCGGGCUCAACCUGGGAAUGGCGAUGGAUACUGGCGCGCUAGAGUGCGGUAGAGGAGAGUGGAAUUCCCGGUGUAGCAGUGAAAUGCGUAGAGAUCGGGAGGAACAUCAGUUGCGAAGGCGGCUCUCUGGACCAGCACUGACACUGAGGCACGAAAGCGUGGGGAGCAAACAGGAUUAGAUACCCUGGUAGUCCACGCCCUAAACGAUGCGAACUGGACGUUGGGAGCAAUUAGGCUCUCAGUGUCGAAGCUAACGCGUUAAGUUCGCCGCCUGGGGAGUACGGUCGCAAGACKG
rnacentral:rRNA from 1 species